GACGACGCUGGCGGCGUGCCUAACACAUGCAAGUCGAGCGGGGUUGAAGCGAGAGGUAACUCGAACUUCUACCUAGCGGCGGACGGGUGAGUAACGCGUGGGCAACCUGCCUCAAGGUCUGGGAUAACAGCCCGAAAGGGCUGCUAAUACUGGGUAUGCUUGUGGCCUCGCAUGGGGCUAUGAGCAAAGGGGAAACCCGCCUUGAGAUGGGCCCGCGUCCCAUCAGCUAGUUGGUGAGGUAACAGCUCACCAAGGCGACGACGGGUAGCCGGCCUGAGAGGGUGACCGGCCACACUGGGACUGAGACACGGCCCAGACUCCUACGGGGGGCAGCAGUGGGGGAUCUUGCACAAUGGGCGAAAGCCUGAUGCAGCGACGCCGCGUGAGCGAAGAAGGCCUUCGGGUUGUAAAGCUCUGUCUGGAGGGACGAAGGAAGUGACGGUACCUCCGGAGGAAGCCACGGCUAACUACGUG
rnacentral:rRNA from 1 species